GGGUUAGUAAGUUGGUCAUGCCUUCGGUAUGUACUGGCUUUACUGAUUCCUCCUUCUUGACGAACCGUGAUGUUAUUAAUUUGGUAUUGCGGGAAAUCAGGACUGUUACUUUGAAAAAUUAGAGUGUUUAAAGCAGGCUAACGCUUGAAUACAUUAGCAUGGAAUAAUGGAAUAGGACGUUAAUCUUAUUUUGUUGGUUUCUAGGAUCAACGUAAUGAUUAA
rnacentral:rRNA from 1 species